rnacentral:sRNA from 1 species
UGAUCGCUGUUUACAUGUAAAAUGGUUU